rnacentral:lncRNA from 1 species
AAAAGAUAGAGAGAAAUGAAGAGGAAGAAGAAGCAAAAAAGUUAAGUGAGGGAGAUAAAAAUGAUGAUAAGGAAAAAGAAGUGGUUGAAAGAAAAGAAAAAAAGAAAAAAAUGAGAAAAGAAAGAAAAAAAUAAGAGAAAAUAAAAAGAGAAAGUUGAGGGAGGAAAAGACUGAAAAAAAAGGAAGAGAGGAAAGAAGAAAAGAUCACAUGAAAAACCCCUUCCUCACAAAAAGAAAAAUCAUAGGAAGGAAAAGAAGUUCAAGUAUUUUAUGGAGAUCUUCAAGAAAUUAGAGAUUAAAAUUACUAUGGUUGAAACAUGGAAGCAUGUGCUUGGUGUUCUCAACUUUAUGAAGAAAUUGAACAGGGAGAAGAAAAAGAAAAGAAUAUCAAAAGAGAAGAUU